UACGUAGGGUGCAAGCGUUGUCCGGAAUUAUUGGGCGUAAAGAGCGCGCAGGCGGUCGAUCAAGUCGAGUGUGAAAGCCCCCGGCUCAACUGGGGAGGGUCAUUCGAUACUGAUCGACUCGAAGGCAGGAGAGGGUAGUGGAAUUCCCGGUGUAGUGGUGAAAUGCGUAGAUAUCGGGAGGAACACCAGUGGCGAAGGCGGCUCACUGGUCCGGUUCUGACGCUGAGGUGCGAAAGCGUGGGGAGCAAACAGG
rnacentral:rRNA from 1 species